UACGUAGGGAGCAAGCGUUGUCCGGAUUUACUGGGCGUAAAGGGCGCGUAGGCGGCCUGUUAAGUGUGGUGUGAAAUCUCCAGGGCUCAACCCGGAAACUGCACCGCAUACUGGCAGACUAGAGGAAUGUAGAGGUAGAUGGAAUUCCCCGUGUAACGGUGACAUGUGUAGAUAUGGGGAGGAACACCAAUUGCGAAGGCAGUCUACUGGGCAUUUCCUGACGCUGAGGCGCGAAAGCGUGGGUAGCAAACAGA
rnacentral:rRNA from 1 species